ensembl:lncRNA
GACACGCUGUCUGUCUGCCUGUUGGUCUGUUUGUCUGCCUGCCUGUUUAUCUGCCUGCCUGCCUGUCUGUCUAUCUGUCUGCCUGUCUAUCUGUCAGUCAGUCAGUCUGUCUGUCUGUCUGUCUGUCUGCCUGCCUGUCAGUCAGUCAGUCAGUCAGUCAGUCUGUCUGUCUAUCUGCCUGCCUGCCUGUCUGUCAGUCAGUCAGUCUGUCUGUCUAUCUGCCUGCCUGUCUGUCAGUCAGUCAGUAAGUCAGUCUGUUUGUCUGCCUGCCUGCCUGUCUAUCUGUCUGUCUAUCUGCCUGUCUGUCUGCCUGUCUAUCUGUCAGUCAGUCAGUCAGUCUGUCUGUCUGCCUGCCUGCCUGCCUGUCAGUCAGUCAGUCAGUCAGUCAGUCUGUCUAUCUGCCUGCCUGCCUGCCUGCCUGCCUGCCUGUCAGUCAGUCAGUCAGUCUGUCUGUUUGUCUGCCUGCCUGCCUGUCUAUCUGCCUGCCUGCCUGCCUGCCUGCCUGUCUGUCUAUCUAUCUGUCUGCCUGCCUGUCUAUCUGUCUGCCUGUCUAUCUGUCUGCCUGCCUGUCUAUCUGUCUGCCUGUCUGCCUGCCUGCCUGUCUGUCUGUCAGCCCGUCCGUCCAUCCUGUGGGCGCUGAGCUGUCAUCUUUACACACCCACAGCCUCAGAGGCAGCAGGCCUGCCGCUCUCUGCUGCAGAGAAGGGGCUUCGUGACGUCAGUGGAGGCUGGAGCGGUUCCUGGGCUGGAGCGGAAAAAAAAAAUGGGGAGACGACUGCGAGGUGAGUGACCCACGCAUUUCGUUGUUGUUGCGCUAACGUUCGUGUCGCCGCGCGCGCCGUGGACGCGUUGAACGGUCGCUCCGUGGACGCCGCCGCUCGCGUGCGCCGAUUGUGCGCAGCGGGAGUGCGGGUCCAGCGAAGAGCCAGCGCUGCCGCGCGAGCGGGAGCGUUGCGGGCGCACGUCCGGUUCCUGGCACCGUCUCCUCCGACGGCGCGCGUUUGCGGCCGUCGGCGUCGGUGCGGCUUUGCCCCGGACCCCAGGCCUCGGAUCUGCGCCUUUAAGUCGCUUCGCCGCCGCUGCCGCUCGUCCACACCCACAUGAUCUGCACCUCGCGAUUGAUCCAUGUGCGGUGCAGAACCGAGCAUCAUUCGGGGUUUUUUUUCUGCAGGUUAUAAUCCACGCCGGUGUGGCCCGAGGUCUGCGGGCUACCUGCUAACGCUGCGUUCACGAGCACUGAAAUGCGCUGCAGCCUAUGAGAAGUUGCAUGUGCGCUAAUGUGGCGCACGCACAGCGGCCAGCGUCGCCGUGUCGCUGCGUAAACCCAGAUUUUGGUUCACAUUGUGUCACAAAGCCCGCGGAUGCGUCACCUUCCCGUGAAGUUCCGAGCCCAGUGUCUUCGUGCAGCGUGGUCCUCGUUGUUAAUGCGAGCAACCAUGAUUCACGUUCAGUGUCCGAGCAAAUCACCACAGUGUCAAAUUCAGGCUCAUGAUGAUAACGUUGCUCGGGGAUUCUUCAAACUGUGCCUCAGCUCCUGUGGCAGCUGCUGAAGUGACGGGCAGCCAGAGCUGCUCCUGUUCGGGGGAACUGUCACGUGACCGCGCUGCACGACGGAUGUGACUUGGAUUCAGUGUUUGAAAGAUCAGCUGGAACCAAAGUUGGGGGGAGGAGGAAAUAAACACAGGGCGAGAGCUGUCA